GGUAAGUUACUAGGACUUGGUUGAAUCCACAAAACAAAACAUGUGUGCACACCUUCUCUUGUGAGGGAUCAGGGUGAUUGCGUUAUUGCUCAUAGUGCAUAUCUCGAGCCAUGGAGUCAGACAAGGUUUUUGAAUCGAGUCGUUAUGGGGUUAGCGACCCUUGACGAUUCGUGCCGUGCCGAUCGACUAGUCUCGACUAGUCGAGGUGUUAGUCGAUCUCCAUUUACGACUCAUUGACUAGUCGCGGCUAGUCGUUCGACUCGAAAACAGGGGGAGUCACUGAGAUAGAUAGAUUGAUAAUACGAUUGUAUAGUGCAUAUUAAGUUCAACUGUCAGAUUAGAAAUUACUGCUGUUGUUUGAUGCCUAUUAAGUAGAAAUAUGUAUACUACCUCUGCUCUUCAAUCAAUAUCUAGCAUGGGGUUCAUUUCUGAAUUUUGACCCAGGACCUCCAGAACACAAGUAGGGACACUCUACCAUUGCGUCAGGCUUGCCUUUUACCAUUCAUAUAGACACAAGUAGUUAAAUUUGACAGAUGGAAAUGAUUGUAGAUUUGUGAGAAAUGAGAAAUUCCAAUCAUUUUUGAAAUAAAUUUUUUCCUGACACAUAAAUAGAGAGAUGUAAUGGUAGAAUUCUUGUGUUGGCGACCGUGUCAGGAGAUGGCACAAAUUUCCAUGAUAGGCUGUAAGAGCAUCUCCAACAGAUCCCCAAUAACAGUUUUUCAGAUCAUGGGGAUGCUUGCUUUUGCAGAUCCCCAAUAACCCCAUCCCUAUUCAAACUGUCAUAUGAGCCCCACUUUGUCAAUGAUCUCUCUCUCUCUCUCUCUCUCUCUCUCAGAAUGGUGGUGCGGUGGUCAGUGGAGGUGGUGUGGUGGUGGUGCAGUGGUCUAGUGUUUGGAGGCGGUGGCGGCGGGGCAGGUCCAGGCAGCGGCGGCGUCUGGUGGGAGGGCGGGUGGCUGAAAUAUGGGGGGAGAAGCAACUCCCCCUCUAUAUUGGGGAGUUGGGUUUAUUUAUUGGUGAUUCACCGAAAACUUCUUGGGGAAAGGGAAUCUGUUGGAGCUGAUUUUUUGGCCCAGCUCCCCUAAUACCGAUAUUAGAGUCUGUUGGAGAUGCUUUAACUGGAGUGAACGCCAAGAUGGAGGGAUCUAUACUUCUUCCCUCUCCGACUCCUGUUUUCUAUCUUACACCCAUUUUGUGUCCUGCAUGAGAUAAUUUCCUGGGAUUGGGAGCGAAGAAACAGUGUUUUUAUGUCUUUGCUCACGUCCCAAACAACUACAGCGGUGGCUAAUUCCAUGGCUAACCAAAGAACCAAAUAUAGUCCCAUGACAAGUUAUGUUUUGCUGGCCAACAAGUAUUGUAUGCAGAUAUCACUUGGUUAAAUAAACAAACAACAACAAAGCGUUUUGUCCCAAGCAAGUUGGGGUAGGCUAGAUAUGCCUUGUCACGUAUUCCCUCGUUCCUAAUUUAUCACUUGGUUAAACAAACAAACAACAACAAAGCCUUUUGUCCCAAGCAAGUUGGGGUACGCUAGAGAUGCCUUGUCACGUAUUCCCUUGUUCCUAAUUCGGUCCUUUAUUGUAUGUCCACAAUCCACCUUAGCAUGUGCAUUUCGGCGACACUCAUUUGUUCGAUGUGUUGUCUCUUAGUAGGCCAACACUCCGCUCCAUAUAGCAUCACAGGUCUGAUCGCCAUCCUGUAGAACUUACCUUUGAGCCACUUUGAUCCUGUGGCUAACAUCCUCAUCGAUACCACCGUUGCUUUGUAGCAUUGAACCCAAUUAUCGGGAAGUGUCCCUCUUAGGCACUAUAUGUCCUUCUAAGCUAACCUCUCCCUCCUCACCCCUAGCACCACUAAAGUCACACCUCAUAUACUCGGUCUUGGUCCUGCUAAAGACCCUUGGACUCUAAAGUCUGUCUCAAUUAUAAUUUCAUAUGGAUACCCAAUCUAGUCUCGUCAACUAGGACCACAUCAUCACCAAGGGAUAUCUCCUUGUAUAUCCUUUGUGACCCUGUUCCAUCACUAUGGCAAAAAUGUAUGGGCUAAAGGCUGAUCCUUGAUGUAGUCCUAUCGUAAUUAAUAAGGUAUUGGUCUCACUAUCACCUGCCCAAACACUUGGUUAAAUCAGUAAUUCUUGAAUUACUACAAGGUACUUGAUUUAGUAUCUCUGUUAUCUGUAGGGAAAGGCUGCGUACUAUAGACCCAAAGUGGUCGGACCCUUCCCCGACCCUGCGCAAGCGGGAGCUACAUGCACCGGGCUGCCCUUUUUUUUUACAUAAAUAAUAAAAUAUCUAGAUUAAUGCUGUUUCCAGGACAGCGUCCGCUAAUCAGUAUCUAGGGCAGAUCAUAGUUCAGUUUUCUUUGCAGGUUCGCAUCCAGUUUACAAGCUGGACCAUAUCAACCUUUGGAAAUAGUUCUGCUAAAAAUAUUCUAACGUAACUCUGUUUUGUCAGUUAGUAGUUGGAGACCUGGAGGGAACCUGGGUCUUUAGCAGUUAUCAGCAGUUAUCACUUCUUUAUACUGCAUGCGCCUUUUUUGUGUGUGACAUCAGACGUUUCAAAUAUUGAAACAGGUAAUGUUGGCCAAGUCAGACCAACCUCUUAGUUUUGCCUGUCCCAUUGGAACCAUGCCCUGUUAGGUUACUGUGCUAAUAUUAGUAGUAGACUUCUAUCUGUAACAGGCUGUCAGUUAGGUCUGCCAUAUGGUAUGAGGUAAUUUAGACAAAAGCAUACCACUUUUCUUUGGGGCUUUUGCUGUAGCUGUUAUUGUGAUGUUUUUAUUUUUUUCACUUGCACAUGCGUAUGUGCCCCACGAGUGUUUGCGCCAUGUGCAUUACAGUUUUUCCAGUCUAAACCAUUUUUUUGUCAGGUUGAAAUGGUUCAUGGCAAAAGAUUAAAUGCACAAAAGUUUUCAGUUGGAGGGACUCCAAGGAAAGUGCUAUACCACAGCGAUAGUAGAACACUGUUGGUUAUGAGAACUGGUUUAACUGGUGCAUCAUGUUCUUCAGAUAUUGUCCAAAUAGAUCCUAAUAAUGGGAUCUUGCUUUCCCGAUUCAAGUGUGAACUUGGUGAAACUGCAAAAUGCAUCCAGAUUGUGAAAAUAGGAAGUGAGCAAGUGUUAAUUGUUGGGACAAGUAAAUCUACUGACCGGCCGAUGAUGCCAAAUGGCGAAGCAGAAAGGUUAACAUCUCAUCUAUUCUUUCUAAUUAAGUGCUGCUGUCCUGUCAGAUAUCUUUGAUCCAUUAGCAAUAUUUUUUUAUUCAACUUGCAAUUUCAGUGUUCCAGCUAUUAUUGAUCUGUUUACCUCAGGCCUGUCUGUUUGCUCAUUGGCAGUCCUUCUCAUAUUUUUUCUUCUCUUCUGGCAUGUGUAUGAAUUAGUAAAGCUCACGCCAUUUUGUAAAAAAACUUAACUUUAUUGUUGUUCACUAACUUUGCACCAUACUCUUUUAAGUCAAUUUUUUUGUGAUUCUUAUUUAGUCCUGAAUGUUGAAGGGGAGCCUUGGUGCAGUGGUAAAGCUGCUGCCUUGUGACCAUGAGGUCACGGGUUCAAGUCCUGGAAACAGCCUCUUGCAGAAAUGUAGGGAAAGGCUGCGUACAAUAGACCCAAAGUGGUCAGACCCUUCCCCGGACCCUGCGCAAGCGGGAGCUACAUGCACCGGGCUGCCUUUUUUUUUUAUUUAGUCCUGAAUGUUCAUGCUGUUGUAGACAGAUUGCAUCUUUCCUUUUUUCCUACUUGUAAAGGUUGGAGUUGGUGCGGAGUUCACAUGUGGGACCACCAACCUUCACCAAUAAACAAAUGCACCCCUACCCACAUGUGUGACUCGCAACCAUCCAAAAGAUAAAUAAAUGUACUUCCACUCACAUGUAGCACCUAACACAAAUAAAACAAGUACACUACUGCUUUUGUGUGAGAUCAACAACAACAACAACAAUAACAAAGCCUUUAGUCCCAAACAAGUUGGGGUAGGCUAGAGGUGAAACCCAUAAGAUCUCAUGACCAACUCAUGUGUUACAACAAAUAACAAAUGCAGAAAUAUGACUCCAACUCAAAAUAAUGCUCUUAUUUUCAGUUUCUUCCCAACCAAUUUCUUCCAGUCACAGAAAUAAGAGUGAACAAAUUAUAAUUCCAAAGCGGCGAUAGACAUUUGUCCUCCUGCCGUGCAGUCAACUUACUAAUGCCUACACAUAUGUUUCGACAUUUGAAAUGUUGUGUCUUGCAAUGAUCGCUUACAGUUCUCCAAUGCCUGCUGCAUGAUUUUUCAUUGUAUUUCUGUUCUUUUUAAUCGUGAACCGCGCGCAAAGGCUGCAGGAUACAAUAUUUUGAUGAUUUCCUAAGCCAGUGACUAAACUCCUCGUAUUUUAUAGUUUCGUAACAACGCAUUUGCAUUGUCUAGUAUUUCCUAGUGUGAAUAAGAAAGUGGAUGUAAAAAGAAGAGCGGGAUAAAAGUAAAGUAGGGAUGAAUUCGUCUCUUGCCUCACCGAUCUGACACGGAGUUUUGGAAGCUACGGCCGAAGAAAUGCAGUAAAGCAAGUCGUCUUCGGAUUGGAGCUAAAUUCCCAAUAAUUUUGCACAUUCAAACAAUGAAAAACCUUACAUUUGCAAUGAUCUUAUAAUGAUUUGUUUGCAUACCAUGUUUAAGCACUUAACCUCAUUCUUAGUUUCUUAUGUUGUACUAUAAGAACAUAAAGAGGAAUCAUCGUGAAGCAGCACAAAGGUUGUGGAGGAGCAACUCCACCUUGCUGCUACAAUGUGUACAACACAAGUGUUGAAGGAACAGCUUCAACGUGCUGUGCUAGAUAUCGCUCUAGAGGCGAAUUUAGGCCGAUAGGGCAGCAAGAGUUCAAUCCAGAACUCCUAGGGCACAAGAUCUACUCCAAGAUCUUAGAUAAGAACAACAAGUUCUAUUAUAGGUAGUGGGUACAUA
rnacentral:lncRNA from 1 species